GGGUUGCGGACAGUGUCUGGUGGGUAGUUUGACUGGGGCGGUCUCCUCCUAAAGAGUAACGGAGGAGCACGAAGGUUGGCUAAUCCUGGUCGGACAUCAGGAGGUUAGUGCAAUGGCAUAAGCCAGCUUGACUGCGAGCGUGACGGCGCGAGCAGGUGCGAAAGCAGGUCAUAGUGAUCCGGUGGUUCUGAAUGGAAGGGCCAUCGCUCAACGGAUAAAAGGUACUCCGGGGAUAACAGGCUGAUACCGCCCAAGAGUUCAUAUCGACGGCGGUGUUUGGCACCUCGAUGUCGGCUCAUCACAUCCUGGGGCUGAAGUAGGUCCCAAGGGUAUGGCUGUUCGCCAUUUAAAGUGGUACGCGAGCUGGGUUUAGAACGUCGUGAGACAGUUCGGUCCCUAUCUGCCGUGGGCGCUGGAGAACUGAGGGGGGCUGCUCCUAGUACGAGAGGACCGGAGUGGACGCAUCACUGGUGUUCGGGUUGUCAUGCCAAUGGCACUGCCCGGUAGCUAAAUGCGGAAGAGAUAAGUGCUGAAAGC
rnacentral:rRNA from 1 species